UACGUAGGGAGCAAGCGUUGUCCGGAAUCAUUGGGCGUAAAGCGCGCGUAGGUGGCUUCGUAAGUCCGUUGUGAAAGUCAAAGGCUCAACCUUUGAAAGCCGAUGGAUACUGUGAAGCUAGAGUUCGGAAGAGGCGAGUGGAAUUCCCGGUGUAGCGGUGAAAUGCGCAGAUAUCGGGAGGAACACCUAUGGCGAAGGCAGCUCGCUGGGACGUUACUGACGCUGAGACGCGAAAGCGUGGGGAGCAAACAGG
rnacentral:rRNA from 1 species